GACCCAGUCGUCUAGUCUGGUCCAGGACAUCACCCUCUCACGGUGAAAACCGGGGUUCGAAUCCCCGCUGGGUCA
rnacentral:tRNA from 1 species